UCCCGUUGAGUGAUUUCUCGACCCGUCCGACGAUCACCACAUCUUGACUCUCGGCACACUCCUCGUGCCAACUUCGGCGAUCGCCGGUCCCUUUCUCCUCGACGAGCUCCGUAUAAGGGGAAGAGGCUGCGGUCUCUGUCAAGUUUCUCUAAGGAAGGCUCUACCCUAGGAUACUCAUGACAUCCCAACGAGUCCCAGCAGCGGUUGGAUGAGUAUGACUUUAAGCUGAAGGAGCUAAAUCACCAUCUGAAUCAGCUCCAAACAAACCAUCGGGAUCCCACC
rnacentral:lncRNA from 1 species